AUUGAACGCUGGCGGCAUGCUUUACACAUGCAAGUCGAACGGCAGCACAGGGAGCUUGCUCCUGGGUGGCGAGUGGCGAACGGGUGAGUAAUGUAUCGGAACGUGCCUGGUAGUGGGGGAUAACUACUCGAAAGAGUGGCUAAUACCGCAUGAGAUCUUUGGAUGAAAGCGGGGGACCUUCGGGCCUCGUGCUACUGGAGCGGCCGAUAUCAGAUUAGGUUGUUGGUGGGGUAAAGGCCUACCAAGCCUGCGAUCUGUAGCUGGUCUGAGAGGACGACCAGCCACACUGGGACUGAGACACGGCCCAGACUCCUACGGGAGGCAGCAGUGGGGAAUUUUGGACAAUGGGCGCAAGCCUGAUCCAGCAAUGCCGCGUGCAGGACGAAGGCCUUCGGGUUGUAAACUGCUUUUGUACAGAACGAAAAGUCUCUGGCUAAUAUCUAGAGAUCAUGACGGUACUGGAAGAAUAAGCACCGGCUAACUACGUG
rnacentral:rRNA from 1 species